rnacentral:rRNA from 1 species
GUGGUAAUGCCGGAUGCUCCAGUUGAUCGCAUGGUCUUCUGGGAAAGCUUUCGCGGUAUGGGAUGGGGUCGCGUCCUAUCAGCUUGACGGCGGGGUAACGGCCCACCGUGGCUUCGACGGGUAGCCGGCCUGAGAGGGCGACCGGCCACAUUGGGACUGAGAUACGGCCCAGACUCCUACGGGAGGCAGCAGUGGGGAAUAUUGCACAAUGGGCGCAAGCCUGAUGCAGCGACGCCGCGUGAGGGAUGGAGGCCUUCGGGUUGUAAACCUCUUUUAUCGGGGAGCAAGCGUGAGUGAGUUUACCCGUUGAAUAAGCACCGGCUAACUACGUGCCAGCAGCCGCGGUAAUACGUAGGGUGCAAGCGUUAUCCGGAAUUAUUGGGCGUAAAGGGCUCGUAGGCGGUUCGUCGCGUCCGGUGUGAAAGUCCAUCGCUUAACGGUGGAUCCGCGCCGGGUACGGGCGGGCUUGAGUGCGGUAGGGGAGACUGGAAUUCCCGGUGUAACGGUGGAAUGUGUAGAUAUCG